CCCGCCUAUGUCCACGACUCUAAGCGAUCCAAGCUUGAGAAUUUCACUAUCCGAGCCUUUCCAAGGCUUCAAACGUUUACAAUUAACUUCAAGGUGUCAAUGAACCUUUACAACAAAGAGAUUAUCUCUCAAUCUCUUCACUCAAGUGUCUCACACACUCAAACACUUACAAUUAAGAUGAAGAAAUGAAAGUUACAACAAAACUCACUCAAAGAGUAGAUAUUCAAAAUGAAGAACAAGAGAUGAUUCAAUGUUUUAUGAUUUGCGAAUUGAGAGCUCAAGAUAUCUCGUGUGCUUUUUGGUUUUGCUUGCUAGAGAGCUUGAAAAUGAAUUGGAUUUGAGUUUAUAAAGUUUGAGCUCAAAAACUAGCCGUUAUGCAAAUUUUGGUCAUAACCGGCUUACCGUUUAUGGAAUCCGGUUAGCCGCUUUUAUGUUACCGUUAAGGCACAAAUUUAAAUUUUAGAAUAUCUGGCAUGCCGCUUUUCAUAUCCGGUUAGCCACUUUUGAAAUCCGGAUAGCCGCUUGCGAAAUCCGGAUAGCCGUUUAUGCUCCAGAAGCUUACUGCCCAAAAUCCAAAUUGCCGCUUAUCAUAUCCGGUUAGCCGCUUGCUACAGUAACUGCUGCAGUGAAAUAUUUCUAAAAUUACAGUUUGACCCUAAAACUUUAUAAAACUAUAUUAUAGUCCAAAACGUUAUGAAAGUUUUCAAAUAGGUCCAAUUUCAUAAUUUCCAAAUAAUGUUUUGUCAAUCCCAAAACUUUCUGAUAUUAUGAUUUCACCCAAACUAUGUGAAAUUAUAGAAUGACCCAAAAUAUUUAAAUAUUUUCAAAUAGGUCCAAAUCUGAAAUUUUAAAACUAUAUCAAAGGUUUUAAAAUAUUUUCAUUUUAGUCCAAAACACUUUAAUUCCGUAACAUCAUUUUCUUAUUAUAAAAGCACAAUUCAUAAAUCUUUGUUUAAUCAACACAUGUGGUUUGUUAUCAUCAAAAUCAAUAUCUAUAGCCAUAUAGGCUAACAAUAUUUACUACUAAGAGUAGAUCAAUAACCUAGUUAUUUUAUUUUCAUUGUUUCACUUAAAUUAAAUAGUGUGUAUUUAAAUUAUACUUUUAGUUUUAGAUAAUUAAAGAAAAUUAACAAAUUAAAUCUUUUCUGUGGAUCAACCUUAAAUAAUAAUAAGACGCUUAUAUUUGAGAGUUAUAAAUCACUUUUGAGUGGUGUCAACAAACACUCUCUUACAUGUUUUUCUCUGAAGAUUGAUAGCACUCACAUUUGUGUUUUCUCAAAUUUAGCUUUUACCCCUCUUGUAAGCUUACAUUCGCUUGUUUUUUUGCAGUCUUUAAUUUUCUCUCUCAAUUAUUUAUUGAACUCAAACAAACUCAAUCAAAUGUAGUUGCAACAAUCCAAGCUUAACAAAUCAUAUCACAAACCAAGAAAGACAAAGAAGAAUUGGAUUUUAGCACAAUCGGGAUUUGUCUUUUCUUCUUUUGGUUUAAGUCGAACUGUAAGAAACAGGAAUAAACAAACUUGAAUAGCAAGCUGGAGAAUGGAACAAUUAAAGAAGAUAGAUUUGUGGAAUCAAACAAAAUUUAAGAAACAAGAAAAAAAUAAGUUCAGAGUAGAUCAAACCUAAUUUAAAACUUAAGUUCUGACACCAAUUCGUGUGAGCCUCUUAGAGAUACGUGAGAACCUACACUCAAUAAGGUCCUUUUGUUAAGGAUCGUUCUAAUUCAAAUCCAAACAACUACAAAAUAAGUACCUUCACCCGUUAUCUAGAAAGAUAAAAUUAAUAGUAUAAUAAAUCAAGAGUUGACGCCACACUUAAAAAAGAAAAGAAAGAUUUUGAGUGAUAAGUCAAGUUAAGUACACCACAAGAUGAAAUCUUAAUCAGUUAUAAGAGUUCUUCGAAUAACCAAAGAGAAAAACUCUCAAAAUUAUUAUAAAAUCAUAUAUGUAAU
rnacentral:lncRNA from 1 species